rnacentral:rRNA from 1 species
UACGUAGGGUGCAAGCGUUUGUCCGGAAUUAUUGGGCGUAAAGAGCUCGUAGGCGGUCUGUCGCGUCGGCUGUGAAAUCCCGGAGCUCAACUCCGGGUCUGCAGUCGAUACGGGCAAACUGGAGUACUGCAGGGGAGACUGGAAUUCCUGGUGUAGCGGUGAAAUGCGCAGAUAUCAGGAGGAACACCGGUGGCGAAGGCGGGUCUCUGGGCAUUAACUGACGCUGAGGAGCGAAAGCAUGGGGAGCGAACAGG